rnacentral:rRNA from 1 species
AUCUCUGUAGAGUCUGCAUAUCAAUAAGCGGAGGAAAAGAAACUAACAAGGAUUCCCUUAGUAACGGCGAGUGAAGCGGGAAGAGCUCAAAUUUGAAAUCUUCAAGGUUCUACCUUGACGAAUUGUAGUUUAAAGAAGUGUUUUCUGUUAGAUGAGUAGCAAAAGUUCCUUGGAAUGGGACAUCAUAGAGGGUGAGAAUCCCGUAUUUGGUUAUUCAUUCUAGCUUUGUGAUACACUUUCAAAGAGUCGGAUUGUUUGGGAAUGCAGUCCAAAAUGGGUGGUAAAUUUCAUCUAAAGCUAAAUAUUGGCGAGAGACCGAUAGCGAACAAGUACCGUGAGGGAAAGAUGAAAAGAACUUUGAAAAGAGAGUUAAACAGUACGUGAAAUUGUCAAAAGGGAAGCGUUUGACACCAGUGUUGUUUUUCCGAAAAUCAAUUACGAAUGGCUUGAUUUUGUGUUGUAUUGACCUUAUCAGCUUUCUUCACUUUUUUCGAGUCUUUCUUAAUGCACUUUUCGGUUAACAAGUCAACAUCAAUUUCUUUUGUUGUAAAAGAGUAUUCGGAAGGUGGCUUUCUUUUCGGAGAAAGUGUUUAUAGCCCUAUACUUCUACAAUCGGAGAGAUUGAGGUCUGCAGCGUAGAUCCUUCGGGGUUAGAUACAUUUGUGCUAAGUUGUAGCUUUUCAUAGACAACUUGUUGACUAUGUUUAGUCAUGCGGCUUACUCGCUUAUGCUAUUUUACCUACGCUUAGGAUGUUGACUGAUAUGUAGUCGUA